AGCGGCGGACGGGUGAGUAACACGUGGUAACCUGCCCAAGAGACUGGGAUAACACCUGGAAACAGAUGCUAAUACCGGAUAACAACACUAGACGCAUGUCUAGAGCUUGAAAGAUGGUUCUGCUAUCACUCUUGGAUGGACCUGCGGUGCAUUAGCUAGUUGGUAAGGUAACGGCUUACCAAGGCAAUGAUGCAUAGCCGAGUUGAGAGACUGAUCGGCCACAUUGGGACUGAGACACGGCCCAAACUCCUACGGGAGGCAGCAGUAGGGAAUCUUCCACAAUGGACGAAAGUCUGAUGGAGCAACGCCGCGUGAGUGAAGAAGGGUUUCGGCUCGUAAAGCUCUGUUGGUAGUGAAGAAAGAUAGAGGUAGUAACUGGCCUUUAUUUGACGGUAAUUACUUAGAAAGUCACGGCUAACUACGUGCCAGCAGCCGCGGUAAUACGUAGGUGGCAAGCGUUGUCCGGAUUUAUUGGGCGUAAAGCGAGUGCAGGCGGUUCAAUAAGUCUGAUGUGAAAGCCUUCGGCUCAACCGGAGAAUUGCAUCAGAAACUGUUGAACUUGAGUGCAGAAGAGGAGAGUGGAACUCCAUGUGUAGCGGUGGAAUGCGUAGAUAUAUGGAAGAACACCAGUGGCGAAGGCGGCUCUCUGGUCUGCAACUGACGCUGAGGCUCGAAAGCAUGGGUAGCGAACAGGAUUAGAUACCCUGGUAGUCCAUGCCGUAAACGAUGAGUGCUAAGUGU
rnacentral:rRNA from 1 species